rnacentral:rRNA from 1 species
UAUAAGUUAUCGUUUAUUUGAUAGCACAUCACUACAUGGAUAACUGUGGUAAUUCUAGAGCUAAUACAUGCUAAAAAUCCCGACUUCGGAAGGGAUGUAUUUAUUAGAUUAAAAGCCAACGCCCUUCGGGGCUUCCUGGUGAUUCAUAAUAACUUUUCGAAUCGCAUGGCCUUGCGCCGGCGAUGGUUCAUUCAAAUUUCUUCCCUAUCAACUUUCGAUGCGAAGGUCUUGUCUUCGCAUGGUUGCAACGGGUAACGGAGGGUUAGGGCUCGACCCCGGAGAAGGAGCCUGAGAAACGGCUACUACAUCCAAGGAAGGCAGCAGGCGCGCAAAUUACCCAAUCCCGACACGGGGAGGUAGUGACAAUAAAUACUGAUACAGGGCUCUUUUGGGUCUUGUAAUCGGAAUGAGUACAAUUUAAAUCUCUUAACGAGGAACAAUUGGAGGGCAAGUCUGGUGCCAGCAGCCGCGGUAAUUCCAGCUCCAAUAGCGUAUAUUAAAGUUGUUGUGGUUAAAAAGCUCGUAGUUGAACCUUGGGCCUGGCUGGCCGGUCCCCCUCACCGGGUGCACUGAUCCAGCCGGGCCUUUCCCUCUGUGGAACCCCAUGGCCUUCACUGGCUGUGGCGGGGAAACAGGACUUUUACUUUGAAAAAAUUAGAGUGCUCCAGGCAGGCCUAUGCUCGAAUACAUUAGCAUGGAAUAAUAGAAUAGGACGUGUGGUUCUAUUUUGUUGGUUUCUAGGACCGCCGUAAUGAUUAAUAGGGACAGUCGGGGGCAUCAGUAUUCAAUUGUCAGAGGUGAAAUUCUUGGAUCUAUUGAAGACUAACUACUGCGAAAGCAUUUGCCAAGGAUGUUUUCAUUGAUAAGGAACGAAAGUUAGGGGAUCGAAGACGAUCAGAUACCGUCGUAGUCUUAACUAUAAACUAUGCCGACUAGGGAUCGGACGAUGUU